CGAAUAAACACGGAAACAAAAUCAGCAGAGAUUGUUUAAUAAAUCAAGUGAUUAGUUCGCCCAUUGAAUUUUCAGGAUUUAUUGAAGCAGGAUUUACCCUGGAAGAAUGCAUGCAGCAUUGUGAUGAAUUCCAUCCAGCCGAAUGAAAUCGGGACCUUGCUGUAUUUCAUAAAAUAAAAUAAUCCUACCUGUU